rnacentral:rRNA from 1 species
CCGUCGCUACUACCGAUUGAAUGGCUCAGUGAGGCGUCCGGACUGGCCCAGAGAGGAGGGAAACCACCACUCAGGGCCGGAAAGCUCUCCAAACUCGGUCAUUUAGAGGAAGUAAAAGUCGUAACAAGGUCUCCGUUGGUGAACCAGCGGAGGGAUCAUUACCGAGUUUACAACUCCCAAACCCAUGUGAACAUACCUACUGUUGCUUCGGCGGGAUUGCCCCGGGCGCCUCGUGUGCCCCGGAUCAGGCGCCCGCCUAGGAAACUUAAUUCUUGUUUUAUUUUGGAAUCUUCUGAGUAGUUUUUACAAAUAAAUAAAAACUUUCAACAACGGAUCUCUUGGUUCUGGCAUCGAUGAAGAACGCAGCGAAAUGCGAUAAGUAAUGUGAAUUGCAGAAUUCAGUGAAUCAUCGAAUCUUUGAACGCACAUUGCGCCCGCCAGUAUUCUGGCGGGCAUGCCUGUCUGAGCGUCAUUUCAACCCUCAUGCCCCUAGGGCGUGGUGUUGGGGAUCGGCCAAAGCCCGCGAGGGACGGCCGGCCCCUAAAUCUAGUGGCGGACCCGUCGUGGCCUCCUCUGCGAAGUAGUGAUAUUCCGCAUCGGAGAGCGACGAGCCCCUGCCGUUAAACCCCCAACUUUCCAAGGUUGACCUCAGAUCAGGUAGG